rnacentral:rRNA from 1 species
CAGUAGCCACGGUAAUACAGAGGAUGCAAGCGUUAUCCGGAAUUAUUGGGCGUAAAGGGCUCGCAGGCGGUUUCUUAAGUCUGAUGUGAAAGCCCCCGGCUCAACCGGGGAGGGUCAUUGGAAACUGGGAAACUUGAGUGCAGAAGAGGAGAGUGGAAUUCCACGUGUAGCGGUGAAAUGCGUAGAGAUGUGGAGGAACACCAGUGGCGAAGGCGACUCUCUGGUCUGUAACUGACGCUGAGGAGCGAAAGCGUGGGGAGCGAACAGGAUUAGAUACCCGCGUAGUCCCUGUCUCUUAUAC